rnacentral:misc_RNA from 1 species
GGCGGGCGUGAUCACCGACCACGCGGUGUUGGCGAGCGCUUCGCCGCCCCUGUCGCUCACGAGCUUCAGCGUGAUGACUGCCGCGCGAUGGGUCACGGUGACAUCGGUCAACUUGCCGGCCUGCACGCGAAUGUCCGAACGCACCACAGAGUUCGCGUCGCCGUAGUUCGAGAUGAUAUAAUAGGUGCCCUCCGGUACCAGCAACACAUCGCCCGCGGCGACGUUCUGCGCGAGCGGUGCACGCUCG